GGUGAUGGUUGUGUCACUCUCUUUCCAGCCUGUUGGCCUAAAAGUCCUGGAAGAGGCUGUGGACCCACAAUGGGUGGUGUUCAUGUCUAGAUGAUGGUUCCCAGUGGCAACACCAGGAAGAUUCAGCAGUUGCAGCCUGAAGGAAAAAUCCCAACCUUUGCCUAAGAGUAACACACAGGACCCCACACCACACUAGAAAUAAAACCGUAA